rnacentral:rRNA from 1 species
AGUGAACGCUGGCGGUAGGCCUAACACAUGCAAGUCGAACGGCAGCACAGUAAGAGCUUGCUCUUACGGGUGGCGAGUGGCGGACGGGUGAGGAAUACAUCGGAAUCUACUUUUUCGUGGGGGAUAACGUAGGGAAACUUACGCUAAUACCGCAUACGACCUACGGGUGAAAGCAGGGGAUCUUCGGACCUUGCGCGAUUGAAUGAGCCGAUGUCGGAUUAGCUAGUUGGCGGGGUAAAGGCCCACCAAGGCGACGAUCCGUAGCUGGUCUGAGAGGAUGAUCAGCCACACUGGAACUGAGACACGGUCCAGACUCCUACGGGAGGCAGCAGUGGGGAAUAUUGGACAAUGGGCGCAAGCCUGAUCCAGCCAUACCGCGUGGGUGAAGAAGGCCUUCGGGUUGUAAAGCCCUUUUGUUGGGAAAGAAAAGCAGCAGGUUAAUACCACGCUGUUCUGACGGUGCCCAAAGAAUAAGCACCGGCUAACUUCGUG